rnacentral:rRNA from 1 species
UACGUGAGGGGCGAACGUUGUUCGGUGUCACUGGGCUUAAAGGGCGCGUAGGUGGCUGCGUAAGUAAGGUGUGAAAGCCCUCGGCUUACCCGGGGAAUUGCGCCUUAUACUGCGUGGCUUGAGGAUCUCAGGGGAAGGGGGAACUCCGAGUGUAGCGGCGAAAUGCGCAGAUAUUCGGGGGAAGGCCGGCGGCGAAGGCGCCCUUCUGGGAGAUUCCUGACACUGAGGCGCGAAAGCGUGGGGAGCAAACAGG